rnacentral:sRNA from 1 species
CAGUUGGGUCAGCCCGACACGUGUUCAGUUAUCCAGGAGCAGAGCUUCUCUCCUGAAAGGAUGCGUUGGGUAAGUGGGAUGUGUGGGAUGCGUGGGGGUACCCGUUAUUUUUCGACUUGGGAACUCCUGCCUGAGGUCAAUUUGGGCCCCAUUGCUCCAUACUUCGAAAAUAAGCGAGCGACAAGUGGAGGGGAAGUUGACGAGAAGCCUUAUGCCCCUGGCCAUUGCUCGGAGAAGAGGACGAAUUCUGAGUGAGUUAAGCAGGACCGAUCGGAUGGCGGGCCAUGCUUGGUUGACACCCAUUGAUUCAUUCAGGGCAAUAUGGAUAAAACCAAGCAUUGGCUGAAGCUAACGAUAUUGAAAUUUACACUCUUAAGAGAGAAAGCUUCCAAUGACAAAAGCGAAUCUUAUUUUAUGCCGCCUUGUGAGUUAUGCUACCUCGCUUUACCGUGAUGUAUUUAUUAAAACUUCAAGGAAGCUCAAAGAAAAAAAAAGAAAAAAAAAAUAGCUACAAAGCAACAGAGAAGGAGACCGUUUAUAGCGAACGCUCAUACUCAACGAGUUCGCUAAACUCCUUUGUAUAGGCUGCUGCCAUCGCAUCAGUCGGCCUGGGCAGGGGCUUGCGAGCGAAUCCCCCGUAUCCCAAGUGUGACUCCAUGGCAGAUUUAAUCCCUACCACACCCCCCUGAAUAGCCGCCCAAUCGCCACGGGCCAAAAUUUCCUGAGCACUACGAGCCUCCUUGAGCUUUCCCUGAUAAUAUAGAUCCAUUACCCGCACGCAAGUCUUGGGCGCAAUAUUGGCGAUCCCCCCAAUAAUCCCUGAUCCACCACUGAUGAGAGUUUGUAUCGUAAAGUCUCCUGAACCACCAAGACACAGGAACGGAGCUGGGACUGAAGCUUUGCUGUCCUGGGCAGCGGCGACGCGGGUUAAUUUCCCCGUGUUUCCGCAGGUAAACUUACAGCCCACAAUAUUUGGGUGUUUGCUCAAUGCGAUGAUCGUGUCUGAGUCCAGAUCUAGACCUGAAACGGCAGCGGGAUAGUUGUAUAUGACAAUCGGGAGCGGAGAUGCAUCAGCUACGUCGCGGAAGAACUGAAGAAUCGAAUCUGAUAAAAGGAGUGCUUUGUAGUAAGAUGCAGCAAGGACGAGGGCG